GUUUACAUUAAUAACUAAUUUUAAUACACUGUGGCUUAUCACUAGAGUUUGAAUCCUCCACGAGUCAUUAGUUUUUGAAGUUUCUUUUUGCUUUUUAGGGCCAUACCCACAGCAUAUGGAGCGGCCCAAGAAAUGGCAAAAAGACCAAAAAGAAAAAAAAAAAAAAAAUGGAGUUAACAAAAUUUUUCAAGAGCUCACUUGAAAAGCUAUUUGCCAGGAUACUUACCCUCACACAAUAAAGGCAAUACAAGGCCCAAAAUAUUGGGGUAGUUCAGCAAAUGAAAAAGGACUUUAACCAAAAAAAAGGAGGAGGAAAGGGUGGAAAUGAAUACUCAAAACAAGAUUAUUUUUUUCCUUUUUCCAAGACAAUACUAUAGACUUGCUAAUCCAAAAAUGACAAUUAAGAGAUUAAGGACUAACUUUAUCAUGAGUGCCAACUAAAAAUUUCAUACUGAUAGAUUUAACCCAUGGUUAAUAAUUGAAUAGGUAUUACCAUGAUUACAAACCUUACAACAGUAUGGCCCUAUGGCUUGCUAACUUUUUUUGCUGGGGGGACUUCAAUGCAUAGUAAGAAAUAAUAAAUUCCAAAUCUUUUACAUCAUAUUACAUCCUUAUACAUCAUAUACAUAGUAAACU